UACGUAGGGGGCAAGCGUUGUCCGGAAUUACUGGGCGUAAAGCGUGCGCAGGCGGUUUUGUAAGUCUGGCGUGAAAUCCCCGGGCUCAACCUGGGAAUGGCGAUGGAGACUGCAAGGCUAGAAUCUGGCAGAGGGGGGUAGAAUUCCACGUGUAGCAGUGAAAUGCGUAGAGAUGUGGAGGAACACCGAUGGCGAAGGCAGCCCCCUGGGUCAAGAUUGACGCUCAUGCACGAAAGCGUGGGGAGCAAACAGG
rnacentral:rRNA from 1 species